rnacentral:rRNA from 1 species
UGGGGAAUUUUGGACAAUGGGCGAAAGCCUGAUCCAGCAAUGCCGCGUGUGUGAAGAAGGCCUUCGGGUUGUAAAGCACUUUUGUCCGGAAAGAAAUCCUUGGCUCUAAUACAGUCGGGGGAUGACGGUACCGGAAGAAUAAGCACCGGCUAACUACGUGCCAGCAGCCGCGGUAAUACGUAGGGUGCAAGCGUUAAUCGGAAUUACUGGGCGUAAAGCGUGCGCAGGCGGUUUGCUAAGACCGAUGUGAAAUCCCCGGGCUCAACCUGGGAACUGCAUUGGUGACUGGCAGGCUAGAGUAUGGCAGAGGGGGGUAGAAUUCCACGUGUAGCAGUGAAAUGCGUAGAGAUGUGGAGGAAUACCGAUGGCGAAGGCAGCCCCCUGGGCAAUACUGACGCUCAUGCACGAAAAGCGUGGGGAGCAAACAGGAUUAGAUACCCUGGUAGUCCACGCCCUAAACGAUGUCAACUAGUUGUUGGGGAUUCAUUUCCUUAGUAACGUAGCUAACGCGUGAAGUUGACCGCCUGGGGAGUACGGUCGCAAGAUUAAAACUUAAAUGAAUUGACGGGGUCAUAGCUGUUUCCU